AACGUAGGGGACAAGCGUUAUCCGGAUUUACUGGGCGUAAAGCGCCCGUAGGCGGCCUGACAAGUUGGACGUGAAAGCUCCUGGCUUAACUGGGAGAGGCCGUUCAAAACUGUCAAGCUAGAGUCUGGAAGAGGAGAGCGGAAUUCCCGGUGUAGUGGUGGAAUGCGUAGAUAUCGGGAGGAACACCAGUGGCGAAGGCGGCUUCCUGGACCUGUUCUGACACUGAGGAGCGAAAGCGUGGGGAGCGAUCCGG
rnacentral:rRNA from 1 species